rnacentral:rRNA from 1 species
CCUACGGGAGGCAGCAGUGAGGGAUAUUGGACAAUGGACGAGAGUCUGAACCAGCCAAGUAGCGUGAAGGAUGACUGCCCUAUGGGUUGUAAACUUCUUUUAUAUGGGAAUAAAAUGUUCCACGUGUGGGAUUUUGUAUGUACCAUAUGAAUAAGGAUCGGCUAACUCCGUGCCAGCAGCCGCGGUAAUACGGAGGAUCCGAGCGUUAUCCGGAUUUAUUGGGUUUAAAGGGAGCGUAGGUGGAUUGUUAAGUCAGUUGUGAAAGUUUGCGGCUCAACCGGAAAAUUGCAGUUGAAACUGGAAGUCUUGAGUACAGUAGAGGUGGGCGGAAGUCGUGGUGUAGCGGUGAAAUGCUUAGAUAUCACGAAGAACUCCGAUUGCGAAGGCAGCUCACUGGACUGCAACUGACACUGAGGCUCGAAAGUGUGGGUAUCAAACAGGAUUAGAUACCCUUGUAGUC